AUUGAACGCUGGCGGCAGGCCUAACACAUGCAAGUCGAGCGGAGCGGCGGACGGGGGAGUAAUGCCUAGGAAUCUGCCUGGUACUGGUGGAUAACGUCCGGAAUCGGGCGCUAAUACCAAAUCCACUCGGAUUAGCCUAGGUCGGAUUGGGUAGUUGGUGGGGGAAAGGCCUACCAAGGCGACGAUCCGUAACUGGUCUGAGAGGAUGAACAGUCACACUGGAACUGAGACACGGUCCAGACUCCUACGGGAGGCAGCAGUGGGGAAGAGUGCGCAAUGGGCGCAAGCCUGAUGCAGCCAUGCCGCGUGUGUGAAGAAGGUCUUCGGGUUGUAAAGCACUUUAAGUUGGGAGGCGUUACCAACAGAAUAAGCACCGGCUAACUUCGUGCCAGCAGCCGCGGUAAUAC
rnacentral:rRNA from 1 species